GACGUGAGGCGCGAGCGUUGUCCGGAUUUAUUGGGCGUAAAGAGCUCGUAGGCGGCUUGUCGCGUCGACUGUGAAAUCCCGCGGCUCAACUGCGGGUCUGCAGUCGAUACGGGCAGGCUAGAGUUCGGUAGGGGAGACUGGAAUUCCUGGUGUAGCGGUGGAAUGCGCAGAUAUCAGGAGGAACACCGAUGGCGAAGGCAGAUCUCUGGGCCGUAACUGACGCUGAGGAGCGAAAGCAUGGGGAGCGAACAGG
rnacentral:rRNA from 1 species